rnacentral:tRNA from 1 species
AGUGGUUUAGCUCUCGGUUGGUAACCGAAAGGUUGGUGGUUUGAAUCCACCAGCUGCUC